rnacentral:rRNA from 1 species
GAGUUUGAUUCUGGCUCAGAACGAACGCUGGCGGCGCGUCUUAAGCAUGCAAGUCGAACGGCAAGAGAGAAGCUUGCUUCUCUCCUAGAGUGGCGGACUGGUGAGGAACACGUGGGUAAUCUACCCUUGAGAUGGGGAUAGCUGCUAGAAAUAGCAGGUAAUACCGAAUAGGCUCGAUAUUUCACAAGAAGUGUUGAGGAAAGGAAGCUACGGCUUCGCUCGAGGAUGAGCCUGCGUCCCAUUAGCUAGUUGGUGGGGUAAAAGCCUACCAAGGCGACGAUGGGUAUCCGGCCUGAGAGGGUGAACGGACACAUUGGGACUGAGAUACGGCCCAAACUCCUACGGGAGGCAGCAGCUAAGAAUAUUCCGCAAUGGACGGAAGUCUGACGGAGCGACGCCGCGUGGAUGAAGAAGGCUGAAAAGUUGUAAAAUCCUUUUGUUGAUAAAGAAUAGGGGUGAGAGGGAAUGCUCAUCUGAUGACGUAAUCGACGAAUAAGCCCC